CACGUAGGGUGCGAGCGUUGUCCGGAAUUAUUGGGCGUAAAGAGCUCGUAGGCGGUGUGUCGCGUCGGCCGUGAAAACCUGCAGCUUAACUGUGGGCGUGCGGUCGAUACGGGCAUCACUGGAGUUCGGCAGGGGAGACUGGAAUUCCUGGUGUAGCGGUGAAAUGCGCAGAUAUCAGGAGGAACACCGGUGGCGAAGGCGGGUCUCUGGGCCGAUACUGACGCUGAGAAGCGAAAGCAUGGGGAGCGAACAGG
rnacentral:rRNA from 1 species